CGGGCUCGUCCGUCGUCACUCGGCUUGGCGGGCAGUUCGUUCGUUCGCGCGGCGCGCUCUGUUUCCAGUUUAGAAUCGGCGCCUAGAUGAGUCGUGUCAUCCCGCCCGCGGUUGGGCCAAUUUUCUCGAGCGACACAUGUAAGUGAGUGUCCCUUUUGUCGUACCUGGACGUCACCUUCUUCCUCGCACCCCGUUCUUCGAUAGUAGCGAGCGACCACCAUUGUCAUUGUGCUGUGGAAAUUCGCGAAUUGUGUUGAAACAACGAGAAGUUGGACGCGCGACGGCGAGCAAGUGACAGUGUGCCGAUGGAGCGACUUCGACCGGAAGCGAAGUGACGACGAAUCACGCUAGGAUGAAAACAAGGAAACUCAAUUUGUGUGGAUACCUGGACAGUACCGGAAUUAGCGAAAUGCUCCAUGAAAGCUCGGUCGUGUGUAAAACUUAGGGUUGCCAUGUGUCCUACUUCUCGUUGAGCAGUCUAAUAACUGCAUGUAUAACUGUUAUGUAACUACAUUUAAAUGCCCUUUGAAAACAAAAUUUUUAAAUCCAAAUUUACAUAGAAAUAUGCAAAAAACGCCGAUAAAUAUCAAAUAAAAAUAGAUUCUUUUACAUGUCUUCUUUCUCUUAAUUACGUAUACAUAUUUCCAUGCAUUGUCUUCAAAAAUGAUGGCAACCCUAGUAAGACAUGAAGCCGCGUGGCAAUAAUAUAUGUUUAGGAGUAACGAUACAUGAUUUCGAUAAAAAUGGUUCUCGAUAAUCUCACUGUGAUGUCGGCCAUUGACGAGUUGGUGGACGACGUUCAAUCGAACAGCACCAACGUGACGGAUUUUCCUGAUUACGAUAUCAAUGAUUCCUUCAAUCACUUUGAAUGGGCGGAAUUGGCUCCUGUUUUGGUCGUCUACACCUUGACGUUCUUUCUCGGAUUAAUCGGUAACGUCAUCAUCAUUGCUUCGACUCUUUGUCGACUCAGGCCAUUGCCGGCGACACCGACGAACGUUUUCUUGGGUGGUCUGGCUACAGCUGAUCUUCUGUUAAUUAUAUUCUGCAUACCCGUGAAAAUAGCGAAACUGUUCUCUUACACAUGGACCAUGGGUAUCUUUCUAUGCAAAGCGGUACAUUACAUGCAGAGUGUGUCGGCAAUCUGCUCGGUCGUCACCCUUACUGCGAUGUCGAUUGAGAGGUAUUACGCCAUAGUGCAUCCAAUGAGAGCGCAGUAUAUAUGUACCAUAAGCCAAGCUCGUAAGAUCGUAAUCAUAACUUGGAUAGCAGCAUUUCUAUUGGGAAUACCCAUGACGUUUACACAGACACACAAGGAAGUUGGAGUGAGGAGGAUCGCUUAUUGGUGCGUUCGCAAUUCCGAAGCUGGACUUCUGUGGAGAUCUCACGAAGUUUAUAUGCUCAUUGUGGUUCUCGUGCUACCAUUGAUCAUCAUGGCGUUCUGUUACACGAGUAUCUGCUGGGAAAUUUGGCGCGUUAUGAAACGAAGAUAUCAUAUGACGUCUCGGCAUGCAUUAAAUCCAAACAGUGCAGAUACGGAAUCUAUUCCUAUGACCCAACGGCAGGGCGGAAACGAACGCAAAUCACGCCGGGACGAAAAAGAUGAAGAAUCACGGACUAUGAAGCAGGUGGUGAAAAUGCUGGUGGCAGUCGUGGUGCUGUUCGCCAUUUGUUGGGCCCCGAUGCUAAUUGAUAAUGUGCUGACUGCUUAUGGCUACCUGCCGCGCGUCAAGAGUGGGGUGCACAAGCAUCUCAAUACCGCGUUUCAGUUGAUGGCUUAUUUUAACAGCUGUAUAAACCCGAUAGUUUACGGGUUUAUGUCGAAGCACUUCAGGGAGAACUUCCUGUCGGCUGCCUGCGGCGGAUGGUGGAUUUUCUGCCCUAGAAGAGGUUACCGGGCAUCUGUAACGAGAAAUCCAAGUCUCAGCCAGACCAGAAGCACCAGCGUUAGGUGGAUCCGAAACUCCUUUGGGGAUUCAAAGUCCCGAAACUCGAGCGGUCCGCAUCCCGUAGACCAUCCGUGACACGCUUGCGGGGUUCUCAAGUUCCCCGACAGCGAGAGACCCCUCGAAAGUGCAUGUGCGACGAAUGUCCGACUAGGGUAGACGAAUGGAGCACGAUUCGAUCUCGAGAUGGACCUGAUUCUUUCUUCAUCCUCGGACCAGGUCUUCGAGGGAAAUUUCCGUCAGAUAGGAGACUUCCGACAGUGUGACGUGAAUAAAAUCGGGAGAGAAUGCGAUUACAGAACUUAUGGAAAUAGGACACAACUGCUUCAAUUUUUCAGUUAUCUGCGAACGGAGCGGUUCGAGAAGAUUAAAUACAAGUGAUAGAACUUUUGUGAAUUUUGACUAGCGGAUUGAGACUACUCACUGGACUAUUCCGGGUAACGUAAGUUGCCGAAUGUGCUCAUCAUCCGUUCAUUAUCCUCGUUGCAUCUUACAACAAGGCGUUAUUGCUUACUCGUCUCGUGGAUGGGACAAUUGGACGGGUUGAUUUAAUUGAACAUUCGGACAAUCGAAUAUUUAAGGGUUUGGUUAAAUCCGUGCUAGGUAAGCGAAUAAGGAGAGUGGGCAGUGUGGACACUCACAAUGGCCACAUACAGUGCAAUAUAAAGCCCUAUAAAUACAUGUAUAAGCUUGAAAUCGCUUGAUUUAGAAAUCCCGCAAAGUAGUAGUAGUCCCGCGCUGAAAUUACUUGAUGCAGGACCAUUAAUUUUAAGAGGCGAACCAGACCUUGAAAAGAUUUGUCGAUGUCGAUAUGUUAAAUGUUAAAUCUUGAAAUGUUGAUAAGUAUCCUUUUAAUUCACGGAGAACUGUUCAAGAAUUACAUAAGAAUGACGUAGGAAAUAAGAACGAAAUACUCUUCCACCGUUUUAGCAGCGCUAGACGCUCUGCCCGAUCUUAAGAGUUUGUUCUCCUUCGUACAAUGUUCACUACCUCAGCAAAACUUGAGAGUGGACAGUGCAUGUUUAGCUGCGAAUGCUAUCGGUCUGAUUCUCAUCCAGUAUUUGUGCUAAAUAUUGUUCUCGCGUUAACCAAAGAAAGUGUAGAAUCCAAUGUUUGUCAGUAAAUACCGCGUUAUAGAAGUACGGACCAAAGUGCGCUAAUUUCGAAGAGAAGUCGUUUCGACGAACGCUUCGAAAAUAUUCGAAAUACGUUCCAGACGCAUUAUACCGUAAACAAUAAAUAAUAAGUUCUUUAGGAAACGUUUGCGACGUAUUUGCGUCGGUGAAUAUUUCUCAUGACGAGUUUCUGUGGUAGGUAUAUGUAAUGAUAAUGAAACUACCAAAUAUUCAGAUUUAUAUUUGUAUAUGAUAUAUCUAAUUUUCUUAACGUCAUAAACAAUUAAAUUUGAGGCCAUGGCAAUGACGUAAAGUUUUUAGAUAUUCGGAAACGAAUAGCAUAUCAUUUGAAAGUUCGAGCCAUGUGGCUGGAAAAAUUAUAAUCUUAUUAGUAAUUAGAUUAAUUAGCUUAUACCAGCAACUCGAUGCUGGGAGCAAACUUUAGAUGAGUAAUCUCGGUUUGUUACUCAGGAGGAUAUUGCAUUUUCUCUUUUUUCAUGCCCUUCUUGAUCUAAUUAGAAUGUUAAAUAUAUCAGGCUAUGAUUCUAUCUAUUAUUAUUAAUAAUAUCUAUUAUUAUCUAUUGUCAUUGAUAGUAAUUAAUAAUGGUAAAACAACAAUAUAGUAAUACACAGGCUAGUGUAUUGAAAGACUUUUUAAUGUAUAAUUUUUAACAGGGCCCGUUUGACAGGCGGGCUUUCGAUAAGUAUAAAUUACUUUAUUUUAAAAAACUGGGGAAAUCAAGUCGCUAAUCAAUAUAUAGAAGAUACAAGUAAAUGAAUACUAUUUAGGUACUUUAGAUUUGACGAACGUGAAUAUUAGCAAUUCACGCGAUUUUAACAGUUCUGUGCUUGUCGUUGAGGAUAAUGUUAUGUGCCAUAAGAAAGUGUAAAAAUUUUGGAUCGAUAUGAAAAAAAGAAGAACGAAAAAUAUCAAAUGUGCGACUAGUCUAUGACAUUUAUAGCGUAUAUACUGUGUUAUAUGAUGUGUAAUAUAAAAUUAGGAUUAUUUGCGUACUGUAUGGAAACAGCUUUUGUCGUUGCAUCUGUGUGUGCGUGUGUGAAUGAAAAGACGAGAAUGACGAAUACGUUAUUAAGGUACCGGUAAGAGAGCUAUGAAAUAAUUAAUUACGUAGCAAAGUACAAUUUUUGGGCAUUGAAAUUUUUUUGACAUUAUUCAAAGGGUUAGUAAUAUCACAUAUAAUUUUUGUUAUAUGUAUCGUCUUUCUUUCGUUAAACAUAUAUAGCAAAGACUCUUUUUCUACCCAAUCGUUUAAUAGACUGAAGCCAUGUAGGAAUAAUUUAAUUGUUGGAAUCAUCGAAGAGCAAUGGUAUUAAAUGACAACUUCACUCUUUAGAAGUAUUAAGAUAUUUGCUGUAUUUUCGAUGUAUUAUAUGAUCAGUAACGAUCAUGACUUGUCUAUUGAUGAACCGUAAUGAGAUAUAUGAAACUACCCUAAUAUCAAUUUUCAUCUAUCAAAGAUUAAUUGCAAUUAAUAAUCAUAAGAUUAAUAUCUAUUAUUUAAUUUGUAUAAUUCUUUAUUUAGUUGCGGAAAAAUCCAAUUCAAAGCUUGAAAAAAAAAAAAAAAACAAAUUUGUUGAGUUUAUUGCAACAUAAUUCUAGUUUACAGCGCAUUGCCAAAUUUAUAAUUUUAAUAUAAUAAUAAUUUUAUUAAUACGAAUAAAUGAAAAAAAGUCUUAUUAUAUAGGCUCUUCAAAUAAUUUUAUUAUUUAUGUAUAAUAUAAUACAGUUCCAAAAACUCGGUGUCUCGAGUAAUAAUAAUUAUGACUCAUAAUAAUUCUACAUGAUAUUCCCCACUUAAAAAAAAAGAUUGUAUCAUGUAAGUAAAAUUUUUUUUGAUGACUUAAUAACUUUUCACAGGAUUGUCACCUAUGUCUCUUUCGAUUUUCUAACUUGCAAACAGAUUUUUCAAAUAAAGUACGAAUAGACAAUAUUUUUAACGUUGAGCGUGAUAACCUCGGCGAUGAAAGUACGAUCUUUGUACGUGUAGAGUAAUUACAUUAAUUCAAUCUGUACAGCGACGAGAAUUAUAUAUUUUCCAUAGGAACAAUGGAUACGUAUCUUGAGCAAAUUAAUUUAACUUAAGUAAUAGCGAGUACAAACUUUACAAUCUAUAUGAUUAGACCACGAUGUUGUAAACAGCUUUAAAUGUUUAAAUGCAUACUAGUCAACCUUCUAGCAUGAUACUAUUUAGAUGACAGCAAGUAUAAGCAAUUAAAUAAAUGUUGAAUAAUAAUUCCCA
rnacentral:misc_RNA from 1 species